rnacentral:rRNA from 1 species
AUGGGCGAUCACAAUUCAUGCCACAACCCUUUAUCUAACUACAAAUGGCUGCUUCAUGAUCCUGCGAAAACAAAUUUAUCCCUUCGUUGUUCAGCACCCCGACAUACUCCAUAUUAUGUGCGCUAUUUGGGCUGCUCAUAUGGGUAUUUGAUCUUGUACUGUGAGGAACAAUGCUUCCUUGUUGAUGUGUACACUAGUACCAUGGUGAAGCCCCGUAAAUUUCGACGCAGUGACAACUCUAAAAUCUACUAUGGCGUCUUUACGGCUCCUCUCAGUUCGCCCAACUCGUGCCUCCUCCUUUUCUCGAGAAAGUAUAUGUUCCGGUGGGAAGUUGGAACAAAGUCCUGGACGGAGCACCCUCUCGUUGCUGGACGCAUUCAUCAAAUUGUGUCCUUCAAAGGUCAGAUGUUGGCCAUGGACUCUCUUAUGAAGCUCAAUACCAUUUCCUUGGCACCUUAG